GAUGAAGAACGCAGCGAAAUGCGAUACGUAAUGUGAAUUGCAGAAUUCAGUGAAUCAUCGAAUGUUUGAACGCAUAUUGCGCUCUUUGGUAUUCCGAAGAGCAUGCUUGUUUGAGUAUCAGUAAACACCUCAACCUCUUCUUGAUUUUUCAAAAGGAGGGUGGACUUGAGCUAUCCCAACAACCUUUACCGGUCGGCGGGCGGCUUGAAAUGCAGGUGCAGCUGGACUUUUAUCUGAGCUAAAAGCAUAUCUAUUUAGUCCUCGUCAAACAGGAUUAUUACUUUUGCUGCAGCUAACAUAAAGGAUAAUUGUCCUCUUUGCUGACUGAUGCAGGAUUUUACGACACUUUAUGUGUUGUUCAACUCGAUCUCAAAUCAAGUAAGACUACCCGCUGAACUUAAGCAUAUCAAUAAGCGGAGGA
rnacentral:misc_RNA from 1 species